rnacentral:rRNA from 1 species
GGGUGAGUAACACGUGCUAAAUCUACCUUUUAGAUUGGAAUACCCAUUGGAAACAAUGGCUAAUGCCGGAUACGCAUGGAACCGCAUGGUUCCGUUGUGAAAGGCGCCGCAAGGCGCCACUAAAAGAUGAGGGUGCGGAACAUUAGUUAGUUGGUGAGGUAAUGGCCCACCAAGACUAUGAUGUUUAGCCGGGUCGAGAGACUGAACGGCCACAUUGGGACUGAGAUACGGCCCAAACUCCUACGGGAGGCAGCAGCG